rnacentral:lncRNA from 1 species
ACAACCUAAUGCAUUGGUCUAGCUUUCUCUCGCCCCACUGAACUUCGUUGGAGUUGCUGACCCUCAAGAACCAAUCCUUCCACCCCACGGUAGGGCUGGGCCAGGAACGAAAAGUAUCCUUCCACAGAUCCAAAGAAAAAUUCUCUGCUCUAAAAGGGAUCCUGUUGGUUUCUGCGUUUAUGAGGUUGGUUGGAUCUGGAUCCCCUAGCUGGCCAAGGCACUGGAGGUGUGGUUGAUCAGUGGGGAUGACAAUUUUGUUAGCCGAUUCCUAGUGGUUUUGGAGAUGGAAAAGAAAAACACAAAGAAAAAAAAGGAGAGAAAAUGUUAAGUAAGAUGGAUUGCGGAUGAACAGGAGUGCGAGAAAAAGUACAAGAGAUGGCGCGAAGGACUG